rnacentral:lncRNA from 1 species
CGUGUUAAACUAACACCGGACGAUGCUCAAUCCUACCAAUCAUAAUGAUACAGGUCGCAUACAAUACAGAUAGAAAUAAGAAAAGUUAUGGAUAACAAUAUUAUAGCCGAACAAGCCAAAAUCUAUAAAGGGUAAGUUAGUCAUAUCGAUAUUGAUAAAAUCCAGAUUCAAUGCAUAUCUAUCGGACUAGGCUUUCUUUCCGCCAAGGAAUCCCAAUGCAAUUAAUGCAUAAUCUUUUACUCUACCUGCCUAGAUAAACAGCUUGCUUCCCUCGCCUAACGCCUAUAUCCAUUUCUUUGUUUCGUUUCAUUUUCACACAUUCACUGUACCGUUUCCCUUAAAUUGAAAAUGUCCCAAAAAGCAAGUCGCCACCAAAGGAGGCCCUCACAAAGCGUGUUCAUGCUCCCGGAUGACCUUGCAGCUCCUCUGCCGGGGGGACAAGGCUGCUCCGCCGUCGAGUCAGGUUCAGCCACCGCUGAAACAAGGUGCGGGUUUGCCACCGGCGAAUAAGUCAUCGGAUGAAAUGUGUCAGGAUCCCAAGAGCAAGAAAGCAUUGGAUGGGGAAUCAAUGAAGGGUUAAGUUGCUAUUAGUCUGGUUAUUACUGUACUUGUUGUGCUUUUAUGAACGGAUAAAAAUAAGAUAUAUAUAUAUAUAUAUAUAUAUAUAUAUAUAUAUAUAUAUAUAUAUACACACACACGGAGCGGAUCAAGAGCACUCUCCUUAAAUAGCACUCCGUAUUAAAUAGCACUCUUUUAUCAAAACGACGUAGUUUUGGAGGGACGCGAUGACAUUUUUGUAAAUACGCAGUGGCAUUGUAUUUACAAAAAUAUCACUGCGUCCCUCCAAAAUUACGUCGUUUUGAUAAAAGAGUGCUAUUUAAGGCGGAGUACUAUUUAAGGAGAGUGCUCUUGAUCCUCUCCGUGUAUAUAUAUAUAUAUAUAUAUAUAUAUAUAUACGGUCAGAAUCAAGAGCAUUCUCCUUAAAGAGUAUUAUCUUUUAAUAGUAUUCUCCUUUAAUAGCAUUCUUUUAUUAAAAUUACGUCGUUUUGGAGGGACGCGGUGGUAUUUUUAUAAAUAUGCGAUGGCAUUGUAUUUAUAAAAAUGUCAUCGCGUUCCUCCAAAACGAUAUAAUUUUAAUAAAAGAAUGUUAUUUAAAAAAAAUAUUAUUUAAAAAAAAUAAUCUUGAUCCUUACCGUAUAUAUAUAUAUAUUACCCAUUUUAGUUCUCCCUUUUCUUUUUGCUUAAAAUAAUAAAAAGGAAAAAGAGUUUACGUUUAAAGAUCAAGUGAUGUAUCAAAUAUGUUGUCGCCACUGGAUUAUAUCUUCUUUAUGAUCUUGGCUUAUUAUGACUCAAGAUUGACAAGUCAGUCACGCAUUAACCUCAUGCUUAUAACUUAUACUUUCUCCAUCUCGGAAUAAAAUUUUUUAUUACUAUUUUAUUAUUAUUUUGAAUAGUCUCAUAUUAAAUGUUCAUUUUUUUUUAAUAACC